GCCUCCCUGGCGCAGGGGGCCGUUGCUAUGGAGACGCAAGAGGGCGGGGUCGUUGCCAUGGAGACGCCAGGAGGGCCGGCGCCAACUCUAUGGUCCCUCCUCCUGGGGAAUAAAAGGGACAUCCGGCCCCUGCAGCCCGCUCUGUGAUCUAUGGUUCUGCCCCUGGAGAAGAAGAGGAUGCGGACCUUCCAGGAAGCCCAUCGCUGGAAAGAAGACAGAAUAUCAUCUUAGGGUGCAGACCUAGACUCCAGAGCUUGAUUUGUGAAGAUUAAAAGAAGACACAUUGUGUUGUCAUGGAUACAGAGUCCAUCUCAGAGCCAGGAAGGCCUGGGUUCCAGUUCUGCUCGUGACAGACGGAAGGCCUGGGUUCCAGUUCUGCUCGUGACAGACGGACUGGCUUGAGUGACCUUGGAGAAGGCAAAGAAAGCCUACCUUCUGCCCAGUCGAUCCAGUAAUUCCAGUGGGACCCUGGAAGAAGGAUAAAAGGAGGAGAGAAGACCUGGUACCUCUGCCCAUGGACCCUGGAGCGUUUUUAGGAGACAAACUGGAUAAGACUUCAAAACGCAGCUAGUCCAACAUCUUCAUCUUACAAAUGAGGAGACUGAGGCCCACAGAGAGGAAGGGACUUGCUAAAAGUCAUAUGGCUAAUAAAUGGUAGUGUCAGGA